rnacentral:rRNA from 1 species
UACGUAGGCAGCGAGCGUUGUUCGGAGUUACUGGGCGUAAAGGGGUGUGUAGGCGGUUGUUUAAGUUUGGUGUGAAAUCUCCCGGCUCAACUGGGAGGGUGCGCCGAAUACUGAAUGACUUGGAGUGCGGGAGAGGAGAGUGGAAUUCCUGGUGUAGCGGUGAAAUGCGUAGAUAUCAGGAGGAACACCGGUGGUGUAGACGGCUCUCUGGACCGUAACUGACGCUGAGACACGAAAAGCGUGGGUAGC